rnacentral:rRNA from 1 species
GAUGAACGCUGGCGGCGUGCUUAAUACAUGCAAGUCGAGCGAACGGACGAGAAGCUUGCUUCUCUGAUGUUAGCGGCGGACGGGUGAGUAACACGUGGAUAACCUACCUAUAAGACUGGGAUAACUUCGGGAAACCGGAGCUAAUACCGGAGAAUAUUUUGAACCGCAUGGUUCAAUAGUGAAAGACGGUCUUUCUGUCACUUAUAGAUGGAUCCGCGCUGCAUUAGCUAGUUGGUAAGGUAACGGCUUACCACGGCAACGAUGCAUAGCCGACCUGAGAGGGUGGUCGGCCACACUGGAACUGAGACACGGUCCAGACUCCUACGGGAGGCAGCAGUCGGGAAUCUUCCGCAGUGGGCGAGAGCCUGACGGAGCAACGCCGCGUGAGUGAUGAAGGUCUUCGGUUCGUAAAACUCUGUUAUUAGUGAAGAACAUAUGUGUAAGUAACUGUGCACAUCUUGACGGUACCUGAUCAGGAAGCCCCGGCUAACUACGUG